rnacentral:rRNA from 1 species
UGGCGGACGGGUGAGUAACGCGUGGAAAACCUGCCGUAUACUGGGGGAUAACACUUAGAAAUAGGUGCUAAUACCGCAUAAGCGCACAGCUCCGCAUGAAGCGGUGUGAAAAACUCUGGUGGUAUACGAUGGUUCCGCGUCUGAUUAGCUAGUUGGUGGGGUAAUGGCCUACCAAGGCAACGAUCAGUAGCCGGCCUGAGAGGGUGAACGGCCACAUUGGGACUGAGACACGGCCCAAACUCCUACGGAAGGCAGCAG